rnacentral:lncRNA from 1 species
AUCAGUUUCCCAGAAGAACAAAUGUCGGUAGGAUCCCUUUCCUAUUCAAUGUUAUCGCAUUAGUCAAGAUGGAGAAAUGACCGCAGUGGAAAAUUGGAGUGCAUGGGAUACGUACCUGAAGAGGAGGAAGAGCAAGCGAACUAAUACUACAUUGCUGGGACUGAAUCGAAACCCUGAACCGGAGGAGUAACAUGUCGACCAACUGCAAUCAACA